AGGCUCGGAAGCGAGCAUGCGCGCAGAGACCUUCAUCGGCUUGUUGGGGCCGGAGUUCAAAGAUGCGAUGGUC
rnacentral:SRP_RNA from 14 species